rnacentral:rRNA from 1 species
UUGACGUAGACCCGAAACCGGGCGACCUACCCAUGAGCAGGAUGAAGCGAAAGUAAAAUUUCGUGGAGGUCCGAACCCACGAGCGUUGAAAAGCUCGGGGAUGACUUGUGGGUAGCGGUGAAAUUCCAAUCGAGCCCGGAGAUAGCUGGUUCUCCCCGAAAUAGCUUUAGGGCUAGCCUCAAGGUGAGAGAUACGGAGGUAGAGCACUGAAUGUCCUAGGGGGUAUUGCACCUACCGAAGACUAUCAAACUCCGAAUGCCGUCAUCUUAUACUUGGGAGUCAGACUGUGGGUGAUAAGAUUCAUAGUCGAAAGGGCAACAGCCCAGAUCGUCAGCUAAGGUCCCUAAAUGUAAGUUAAGUGGUAAAGGAUGUGGGAUUGCACAGACAACCAGGAUGUUGGCUUAGAAGCAGCCACUCAUUCAAAGAGUGCGUAAUAGCUCACUGGUCGAGUGAUCCUGCGCCGAAGAUUUCCGGGGCUAAAACUUACUACCGAAGCUACGGCAUCAGUAAUGAUGGGUAGGGGAGCUUCCCAUACGGGUUGAAGCAUGACCGUAAGGACAUGUGGACAGUAUGGGAGUGAGAAUGUUGGCAUGAGUAGCGAGAUGUGGGUGAGAAUCCCACAGGCCGUAAACCCAAGGUUUCCAGGGGAAGGUUCGUCCGCCCUGGGUUAGUCGGGACCUAAGCUGAGGCCGAAAGGCGUAGGUGAUGGACAACAGGUUGAUAUUCCUGUACUACCGAUAACCGUUUGAGAGAAGGGAUGACACAGUAGGAUAAGCUAAGCACACUGUUGGUUAUGUGUGCCCAAGCAUUGAGGCAGUCAAAGUAGGCAAAUCCGCUUUGAUAAUGCUGGGAUGUGAUGGGGAGCGAAAUUUAGUAGCGAAGUAGCUGAUUUCACACUGUCAAGAAAAGUCUCUAUCGAGGUUAAAGGUACCCGUACCGCAAACCGACACAGGUGGGUGAGGAGAGUAUCCUAAGGCCAGCGAGAGAACUGUUGUUAAGGAACUCGGCAAAAUGACCCCGUAACUUAGGGAUAAGGGGUGCCACCAUCAGGUGGCCGCAGAGAAUAGGCCCAAGCGACUGUUUACCAAAAACAUAGGUUUCUGCUAAGUCGCAAGACGAUGUAUAGGAGCUGACGCCUGCCCGGUGCUGGAAGGUUAAGGGGAUCUGUUAGAGCAAUCGAAGCAGUGAACUUAAGCCCCAGUAAACGGCGGCCGUAACUAUAACGGUCCUAAGGUAGCGAAAUUCCUUGUCGGGUAAGUUCCGACCCGCACGAAAGGCGUAACGAUUUGGGCACUGUCUCAACAACAGACUCGGUGAAAUUGUAAUUCCGGUGAAGAUGCCGGAUACCUGCGACAGGACGGAAAGACCCCAUGGAGCUUUACUGUAGCUUGACAUUGGGUCUUGGUACUACAUGUACAGGAUAGGUGGGAGGCUUUGAAACCAGGACGCCAGUUUUGGCGGAGCCAUCCUUGGGAUACCACCCUUGUAGUACUGGGACUCUAACCAUAGGCCAUGAAUCUGGUCUUGGGACACUGUCAGGUGGGCAGUUUGACUGGGGCGGUCGCCUCCCAAAAGGUAACGGAGGCGCUCAAAGGUUCUCUCAGUACGGUCGGAAAUCGUACGUAGAGUGUAAAGGCAAAAGAGAGCUUGAUUGCAAGACAUACAGGUCGAGCAAGGAUGAAAAUCGGACUUAGUGAUCCGGUGGUUCUGCGUGGAAGGGCCAUCGCUCAACGGAUAAAAGCUACCCUGGGGAUAACAGGCUUAUCUCCCCCAAGAGUCCACAUCGACGGGGAGGUUUGGCACCUCGAUGUCGGCUCAUCACAUCCUGGGGCUGUAGUAGGUCCCAAGGGUUGGGCUGUUCGCCCAUUAAAGUGGUACGCGAGCUGGGUUCAGAACGUCGUGAGACAGUUCGGUCCCUAUCCGUCGCAGGCGUAGGAAAUUUGAGAAGACCUGUCCUUAGUACGAGAGGACCGGGAUGGACGUACCUCUGGUGUACCAGUUGU